AUGAUCUCACUUACAUGUGGAAUCUUAACAAGUUGAACUCAUAGAAGUAGAGAGUAGACUAGGGGUUACCAGGGCUUUCAGGCUUGUUGGGGGGCAGUUGGGGAGAUGGUCAAAGAACAUAAAAUUUCAGUUAGACAAGAGGAAUACAUAUUCAAGAGAUCUAUUGUACAACAUUGCAACUAUAGUUAAUAACAUAUAUUUUUGAAAAUUGCUGAUUUUAAGUCACCCCCAAAAUGAUAACUUUGUGAGCACAUGUAUAUGUAAUUAGCUUUAUUUAACCAUUCCACAAGGUAUACAUAUUCCAAAACAUGUUGUCUAUAACAAAUAUACAUAAUAAAAUAAAAAAUCCUGACACGGAGCUGGCAUUUCUGAAAUGUUAAUUCCUGGUAAUGCCAUUUCUCAAAUCAAGACUCUACCUGCAUGUACAUACCACAGUCUUCCAUCUUUACUCUGUUUUAGUUCAUGAGAGCUAGAGUUACCCUCAAGAUUUUCUAGUUUAUUGGUUUCCAAACUGGGAUUCCCUAGUUCCCAGGGCCUGGGAAAGUUGUAAGUAGGGUCUGUGGGUUGGUUUCAACAUGCUGAAAUCCUAACAAAAGUCAUUCAUGGGUGGGAGACCAGGUUAAGAAAGGAUCGAGUGUCUUUGCUUUCUCUGUGAUAUGGACUCAUUGUGGUAACUCUGGUUGCAUCAUGAUCAUCAGAAGGCCUGCCUGACAUUUAUACGUCUGAUUCCUCAAGACAGAAAGCUUAUUAAGCUCCUAUUUUAGAGAUGCAUUUUGGUGGGCAACAUCUUUCAAAAACAUGGAAUUUGUGGGAAAAAAUAGAAGUUAACGAAUCUAGGGCGUUGGGAUCCACAAAGUUUAGGUAACUUCCCAAGGUGCCACAUCAGGUUGGUAGCAGUGCCAGGACCAGAACUGGUUUCUGCUGAUGCCUCAUAGCCUGCAUGUUCCACUGCUUGCCGUGCCAUCCAGACCACCUUAUUUUCCACCCGGGUCCUUCAUGUCUAUCAAAUAUCACCUUGGAAACAGGCUUUUAGUCAGGAUAUUGUAGCGUCAAGGGCAACUGAAGUCUCCUUUACACUAGGACCCCAGGAAUCUUGGUAAUGGAGAAGGUAUUUCCGAUCAUUUAUUAUGAUUUGUAAGUUCAGCCAGAAAUUUUUCUUCUACUUCCUUUCUCAAUUAGGGAAAUGUGUGCUUUAGAAGAUUUUAAAUGCUUGGUUACUUAAGAGAGAAAGAAAACUCUGUUGCUUGUUCAUAUUAUUUGUGUUUUUUUUCCAUGCAAAGACAGGAGGUUUUCAGCCAAGGCAAAUCAGAGUGGCUGACAUUCCCACGGGAAAGUGAGCCGGGCAUGAGAACAGGAUGUGUACCUGUCUGGAAGCCGGAGCCUUUGAUGUACAUCCACCAGAGCCCCGGAAGGAAGCUGUUUUGAUAAGCUGUGGCCACCAGGUGGCGAUACACACACGCUGUCAAGUCCAACAGUUUUUCCGACCUGCUGGAUUUUUCCAGAUUACUGAAGCAGGAAAAAAACAAGAAAGACAAAACGGGUCCAGUACUUCAGCUCAGAAUAGUUGAGUUGAAAAGAGGUGGAGAGCCCCCCAGACAGCUUGCUCUCUUCAGUCGUGUGGCAGAGAAUCCACUUGGUGCUCUUCGGAUUGUUUGAGCCAAAGGCCACUGCCUGGUGGUGACGACUAACGUGGAGGCACCCAAACCAGCUCCCACGGCAUCUCUUCUGACAAUCAGUGACUCCAGCAGAUUCUAGCAGCACCUACACAGCCAGAGCCACACCCAGGCACUUGCUUUGCUGCAGUUUGGGAGGGAUCAGUGUUCCAGAGCAGCGGCUCACCAACCUUAGCGUGCCUCAGUUGCUGGGCUCCCAGAGUUUUUGGAUAAGGAAACCGUAGUCCGAAGAGAUUCAAUGAGUGUUCGAGGCAAUUAGCGGCAGUGGUGGGAAUGGAAUCCAGGGCUCCACGGAAGGGAGUGGAGGCAGGACACUGUGAGCCUCUCAGGCCAGGUGAGUAGGUUCUGACCAGCCAGGGCCACUCAACUGGCAGCGACGGGGGUCCGUGUAUGUCAGCUGUUGGGUGAGGAGAGCAGGCACAGAAUGAAGUCUUUCAUAAGGGAGUUACCGCUUGGCCGUCUUCCCAGAAUGCCUGCUAAGCCGAAACUGCCCAAGGGAAGGGGCCUGUGUUGAUCCAAGAAGCCUUACUCUUGUGAAUUUGGAUGGACUGUAGGGACAUCAGAGGAGUUGGAGGAGGUGCGAUUUUCCUCCUUUAGCCAAGCAGGAGUGUGUUAGAUGGGACUGAGUAGGAAGGGGACCAGGGAGCAAGGUGAGGGGAGUUCAUCCCAGGUGCUACCCGGGCCUGGCCAGCAGAGCAGUCCUAUGUGUGUAGGGGACAGACUCCUCCAUGUCAACCAUCACCUUGUCUUUAGUAUGUUGCAGAGGCAGGGCACCUCUUCUCAGGGAUAUGGGACGGACAGCUGCUUCCUAACAUCCUUAGGAAGAUUUUCCCUGGAAAAUGAUGGACUGAGACAGGAAUACACUCAGGAAAUAAGAAGGAGAGGUGGCUAAAUACCUCACAGUUUUUGUUUUGUUUGUGGACCACACAGGUUUGAAUGUUUGAGUUCCUAGCAUUUUCCCCCACUCCCUUUUUCUUUCUUACCUGCAUUCUCUGGGGGCUUUUUAGGGUUUCUAAUUAGCCUUUUCCUGCCCCCACCAGAGUCCCUCCACGGUGAGGUGCUGCAGACUCAUAAAGCUUGUGACUUCACCUGGAGCUCGUGAUUCAUUCUGGCACCUGAAAAGCCUGGGACCAAAUGAUUCCUGAUUUCUGCAUUCUCCUUGGGUUCCAGAGGGCUCAGAGCUGUGGUAUAGGAGAGGGGCUCUGAGAAAACUCAAUGUUAAUUUUCAGGAUUUUUGUGAUCUAGUUAAUAUCACACUGGCCACUUGAAGUUGGCCAAGGUAGGAGAGUGUUUACACCACGGGAGUUAGCAAAUGCUACAAAUCAGGACCUUUUUUCCCCAGAUACUUCGUUGUUAACCUUUUACCAGCAUACUGCUUGCUAAGCGAGGGGUGCAGGAUUCUGAGAAGUUUUUGGAGCAGCUUUUAUUCAAGUUCCCAGAGACCCCUUAGAGCUCCCCAAGAAGGUUCAGUGGCCUAAUACCCUAAUUCCAGGCAGCAAUCUGUUUGGGUGUUGGAUACCCUGGGAGAGACGGGCAGGGGAGCCAACACUGAGUGAUACUCUGGGCUGGACAGUGACCAGGCUCCUUCUGUCCCAUGCUCCUGGCUCCCAUCACCUGUGUGACUAGGGAACCACUCCAGGGCAGAGUGGCCACAUUCUUUAAUGUGAUGGCAAGGCAGGCCCGGGGCUCUGAGCCUCCUUGGAACUCCAUGCCAGGACCCUCCUCUUUCCCUUCCUUAUCUUUGGAUGGCAGUCACACAAGACCCAGAUGUCAAACUAUCUCUAAUUCCUAACCAAGGCAUGUGGGGUUUGGCAGGCCCCCAGGCAUCUGACUAUGACUUUGAACCACCUUGACCUUGUUUGUGUGAUCAGCGCCUCAGGCAUUGUACAUGGGCUCUGCUUCCUCCUACCUCUCCAAAACUUUCUCUCCCAACCUGCCAUCUCCAACUGCUCGCGAACACAAAUCACAACACAACAAAAUGAAAAUUUAUAAACCAACAAAGCAACAACAAAAACAAAUGUAACUCCCCUCUAAACGAGAAAACCACAAACAACAUCCUCUCCCACCACCUCGGGGGGGAAACUAACUUGCUGCCUUCCAGAAAUGAUAGAAACAUGCUAUUGAAAAAGCACUCAACACAUGAAUCACGCGUCCUCCCACAACUUCAUCUGCAUGAAAACAGACAACUCAUUUGCUUCCAUCCCUAGUGUUUCUGCCCAGAAGUUACUAUCCUUUGGUGGCCUCAGAACUGGUUGCUCCAAGAGAUGGCUGCUGGAGAAGAUGCCAGGGGCCUGCUGGUACUGACAUGUCCCAGGAGAGGGAAAGGCGGGACAAUGACUGAAAGACCCAGUCUCGGAGAUGACCGGUGUGGUUCCCAUGUCUGCAGUUUCUGAUGGGAUCAAGAGAGGGUGAUGGAGCUGCCCAAGGUCAUCCUGGGAGUGUGUGCAGAAAUGGGACAGAGACAGAGCCGGUCAAGUCCUGAAGUUCCAUUCCAGAUGUUACAGUUGGCAAGGCUUAGACCAGGCCAUUGCCCUCACAGUACAGGCACAUCAUGCCCAAGGGAAAUGAGGGCAGCUGAAAUAUCACUUUGCAUGGGCAAGAGCACAGCACAAGAAUCGAAUACUGUGUGCGGAUGGGAAUCCUACACUGAACCACCAGUCGCCGCCUUUCCUGGGAGUCAGAUUUCUCCUCUGUCUCGGGAAGGGCUUGGACUAGAUCAGGAUUUGACAAACUAUGGCCCACACGCUAAAUCGAGCCCGCUGCCUGUUUUCGUCUGGCUAGUGGACUGAGAAUGCCUUUUACCUUUUUAAAUGAUUGAGAAGGAGAGUAACGUUUUCAUAAUGUAUGAAAAUUAUAUGAAAUUCACAUUUUGAUAACCAUAAAUCAAAUAUGAUUAGAACACAGCCAUGGCCAUUGUUUUAUGUAUUGUCUAUGGCUGCUUUUGUUGAGUGCUUGUGACAGAGACCGCAUGUGGCCCACAGUUGAAUACGUUUACAGUCAGACUAGAUGACUCUGCCAGGCCCUUGUGGCUCUCGCAUUCUAGACAGGGCACUUAGGGGUCUUUCCGUGGGCCCUGUCAACCUCGAGUAUGCUUGUGAAUCCUCCAGUGGUUUCUCAGUGCUGCUUCGGACCCCUUGUCCCGGUUGGUUUCUCGGCAAGGGGCACAGAAAAAUGGGAAGAAGGUGAUUCUGAACAGGGAAGAGAGAACUAUUAUGAUUCUAUUUUGAUCAACCAAGAGCGAGAUGGCUACUGACAUUUAUUCUAGUUUCCCCAGUGUCUCUAAAAGCUCACACUCAUGGCAGAAUUUCUAGUGGGCUUGAGACAAGGACCAGCCUCUGGGAAGGGUCUUUAUCAGAGCAGACUCUCAGGAGGGAAAAGACCAUUUUUUUUUUUUUCUGAGUUUCCUGUUUCACUCUCUGCCUUUGUGCGUUACAACAGAUCGGGAGACACGAAUCUGGACAGUUACGCAGCCGGGGAAGGGCCUUGGAUGAAGCGCUGCCCUGCGGGGAGCGGGGUCCUGUGGUCAGCUCCUCCCAGCCCCGGUGCGUCCUGGACCCGGGCCUUGCUCUUUGACUCCCAUGUCCUGUGCCCACUUGCUGUGUUCUGUGGCUGGGGCCUGUUUACCACCCUCCACCCGCAGCUGUUUCUUUAACCAUAGAGACCAAGCCAUUCUGAAAAUUCUUCCAACUACAACUUGCGGGCAGUUAUUAUGACGCCGCCACCGCUGCUGCUUUGCCCCUCUCGUCACGGGAAAAUAAACAAGCAGACAGCUCAGGAGAGCCCAUGGCACAGAAGAUGUGGUGACAGAGGAUGGUGUGGGGGUGUGGUGGGCACAGGGAAUUGUCUCCAUCCACAAAUGCACAGCAAGGCCAAAACACAGCUCAGAGUUUCUUGGGCCACUUUUCUACCCAUCUGGGAAUCUCCUCUAAACCUCACCUGACAAGUGGCCUCGAGUCUCAGCACUUUCCCUCAUCGAAAAGUGCUCUUCUUUCUUCGGUGACUGCUGUCGUGGUCUUCUCACUCCCCACCCAGCAUGUCAUGUCUGUCUGAUUCUCUCCAGGCUGAACAUCUCAUUUGUCAUGAUUUCUUUCUCUCUCUCUUUUCUUUUUGUUUUGAGACAUGAUCUUGC